UACGUAGGGUGCAAGCGUUAUCCGGAAUCACUGGGCGUAAAGCGUGCGUAGGUGGCGCGUUAAGUGAGAUGUUAAAUCGUGUGGCUCAACCAUAUCGAUGCAUCUCAUACUGGCGUGCUAGAGGACGGCAGAGGCAAGUGGAAUUGGUAGCGUAGCAGUGAAAUGCGUAGAUAUUACCAGGAACACCAAUGGCGAAGGCAGCUUGCUGGGCCACUCCUGACACUGAGGUACGAAAGCGUGGGGAGCGAACAGG
rnacentral:rRNA from 1 species